CCCUUAGAUGUUCUGGGCUGCACGCGCGCUACACUGAAGCGUUCAACGAGUAUUCACCUUGCCCGGGAGGGUUGGGUAAUCUUUUGAAAACGCUUCGUGAUGGGGAUAGAUUAUUGCAAUUAUUAAUCUUCAACGAGGAAUUCCUAGUAAGCGUGAUUCAUCAGAUCGCGUUGAUUACGUCCCUGCCCUUUGUACACACCGCCCGUCGCUACUACCGAUUGAAUGGUUUAGUGAGGCCUCGGGACUGGCGCGCUCGAGUAGCAAUACACCUGCGCGCCGGGAACUUGGUCAAACUUGAUCAUUUAGAGGAAGUAAAAGUCGUAACA
rnacentral:rRNA from 1 species